rnacentral:rRNA from 1 species
CAGCCGCCGCGGUAAUACAGAGGGUGCAAGCGUUGUUCGGAAUUAUUGGGCGUAAAGCGCGUGUAGGCGGUCUUUUAAGUCUGGUGUGAAAGCCCGGGGCUCAACCCCGGAAGUGCACUGGAUACUGGAAGACUAGAGGGCGAGAGAGGAGAUUGGAAUUCAUGGUGUAGGGGUGAAAUCCGUAGAUAUCAUGAGGAACAUCUGAGGCGAAGGCGAAUCUCUGGCUCGUUUCUGACGCUGAGACGCGAAAGCGUGGGGAGCAAACAGGAUUAGAUACCCUGGUAGUCCACGCCGUAAACGAUGGGCGCUAGGUGUGGGGGGUGUCGACUCCCUCCGUGCCGAAGCUAACGCAUUAAGCGCCCCGCCUGGGGAGUACGGCCGCAAGGCUAAAACUCAAAUGAAUUGACGG